AUCCCCCUCCUGGCGCACCCUCUGACUGUUUGUUCCUCAUCCCAUUCCUCCUUCCCUGUCUCCAAGAGGAUGUUCUUACCCACAACCCACCCACAUCAUAACCCACCCUUCCAGGGCUCCCCAUUCCCUGGGUCCUCAAGUCUCUCAAGAGUUAGGUGCACCUUCUCUCACUGAGGCCAGACCUAGCAGUCCUCUUUUGCAUAUGUAUAUGGGGCCUUGAACCAGCUAGAGUAUGUUGCCUGGUUGGUAGCUCAGUGUCUGAGAGAUCUCAGGGGUCCAGGUUAGUUGAGACUGCUGGUCUUCCUAUAGGUCUCCCUUCUUUUCAACUUCCUCCAGCCUUUCCCUAAUCCAACCACAGGGGUCCCCGACUUCAGUCUGUUGGUUGGAUUUAAGUAUUUAUGUCUGUCUUGGUCAGCUGCUUGUUGGGCCUCUCAGAGUGCAACCAUGAAAUGUCCAGCAAUGGAGAGAGAGAACUUGUAGUGUCCACCUCCAGUACAAAGAUAGGACAUCAAGUGGAGAGAUGGGGUUACCAUCCCAGAAUCAAAAACUCCAACCCAGAAUUGUUCCUGUUUAAAAGAACUGAAGGGACAAAAAUGGAGAAGAGCCUGAGGGAAAGCAGGUCCAGUGACCAGUCCAAAUUGGGGCCCAUUUCAAGAGGAGUGAGUCUCUAAGGCCUAACACUAUUACUGAUGCUAUGGUAUUCUUUGUGCAUUGCCAUCAGGCAGAUAGCAGACUCUGUCAUCACCGUGGGUGAUGUUCUCUAUGAUCCCAUCAUAAGGACCUCAAUCUAAUGACCCCAUCUAUCUCUGGGGAAUUCUUACAAUUUUCAUUUCCAAAAUACUGCCAUAUUAGAUGCACAGUCUUUGGAAAGAUAAUUUCCAGUGUAUGUCCCUGCUAGAGCAGAUAGAUAAAAUACAUGUCACUGGCUUUAAACUGAAUAUUAGAUAAUGAUAAUAUUUUACACCAAGAUACAUUUAUAUGGUUUGUGGCACCCUUUGUAAAGGGUGUUGGUACUUCACGGGAAAACCAAGAGAAUCAAUUAACCUGGACCCUUGGUGCUCUCAGAGACAGAAUCACCAACCAAAGGGCACACACAGGCUGGACAUAGAUCUCUCUACACAUAUGUAGCUGAUGUGCAGCUUAAUCUUCAUGUGGGUCCUGAACAACUGUAAUCAGGCUAUCCCCAAAGCUGUUUCAUGUCUCUGGGAUGUGUUCUUCUAACUAGACUUCCUUGUCUGGCCUCAGUGAGAAAGGAAGCACCUAUCCUUGCAGAGACUUCAAAUGCUAGGGUGGGAGGAUUCCCAGGGGAGACCCCACAGACUCAGAUUUGAAGGGAAAGGGAGAUGAGGGAAGGACUGUGGAAGGGGGUGACUAGUAGAGGAAAAUGAAUGGGCUGUAAAGUGAAUAAGUAAAACAAAAAUUAAAUUAAAUUUAAAAAUAAAUAAAAAUUUUAAAAUGUACAAAGGGAAUAUUUUAGCAUAAAUAUACCCCCAUGUGACAUUUAACAUCUAUAUAAUGAUUACACUAGCAUAUUAUUGGUUAUUUAUCUUUAAUUAAGGUUUCAUGGGAUAAUCUGCUCUUUUGUUGUUGGUAUUGUUGUAGUUGUUGUGGUUGUCAGAGCUUGCCCUUUAUUAGUUGGGCAGAGGCUAUUUGCUAGUCUAAACUAGCGAAUAUUCAUUGCAAACUUGAGGGAGUCUAUGAUUAAACUAACCGUGACAGCUCCAACAAAACCUGCAUUAUAAAACAGUUCACUUUGAAUAUUGUAAUGAUCUGCUGUGUCAGAGAGAUGACCAUAUUUUAGUUUCAGGUGUUGGUUGCCUUGAUCAUCAUAUUGGAAACCCUAACAGGAUUGUUUAAAUACACUUAGCUGAAAGGCAUGUCAAAAUUAAUUUCCCCUUACAUACAUAAAGGCUAGAAAGGGCAGCCUGGUUUUCGUUCUGGGCAUGUGUUUCUGACAAGGUCUCUGGGAAUGAUUGCUAGGGAUGGAAGUGGCCUCAGAGAGAUUUGCUUUAUUCCACAUUUGAGAGCUCUGUAUCAGCAACCUAAUAAAAGUUCAGGAUGCCUCACCAACACAGCACAGAGAACUUAUUUACCUCACCAGGUUUCAACUCCUUUGUUCCCCAAUUGAGAUGAGAGAUCCUCAUGUACACUGCCUGUAUUUAAUUAUGGGCUAAUAGUUAUAAUUAGACAGUGUUCUCAAGAUGUUUAGCCUUCAACAUAGCUUCAUGAGAGUGGGGUUCACCCUAACCCGGUAUUUUACAGAUGAAGACGUGCAAGUGCAGAACAAUUAAUUAGAUUGCAAGGAUAUGUUAUUAUUAUUAUCGAUUUUAAAUUCUUCUUUUUAUCAUUGACUUCAUCAUCUUCAUUAUUUUAGUUUUCACAUAUGAACCAACAAAAACCACAAUAAUCUAUUUAAAAAUUCAGUUUGUUCCCGAGAAAACUUGUCAGUUUGCAGCUUAAUAAUCUGGAACCUGAAAUCAUUUUAG
rnacentral:lncRNA from 1 species